UUCAUUCCCAAGUAACUAUAAGCCCUACCUGGACCAAACUUGCAUGGAUGAUGCAUCUAGGGAUGGGCACUACCACACUUGCUUCGGAAGCUGGAUCUGACCUACAGGUCCAUUCCCAAGAAACUAUGAGCCCUACCUGGACCAAACUUGCAUGGAUGAUGCAUCUAGGGAUGGACACUACCACACUUGCUUCGGAAGCUGGAUCUGACCUACAAGUCCAUUCCCAAGUAACUAUAAGCCCUACCUGAACCAAACUUGCAUGGAUGAUGCAUCUAGGGAUUGACACUACCACACUUACUUCGGAUGCUGAAUCUGACCUAGAUUUUCCA